rnacentral:rRNA from 1 species
AUUGGAGGGCAAGUCUGGUGCCAGCAGCCGCGGUAAUUCCAGCUCCAAUAGUGUAUAUUAAAGUUGUUGCGGUUAAAAAGCUCGUAGUUGAACCGCGGGCCGAGAGGAUUGUUCUCUGGGUGGGGCGGAUCAGGCUUCGUGUCUGGUUCGUCUCCCCAGGCUCAAGGGCAAGCCUCUCUUACCGAUCUUUGUUUGGCUCCGCUGAAGGUCUGGGGUUCUUGGUGUCCGUUGGGGUCCCCCCUGAUGGGUUGCAUCUGGGAUCACAGGCUGGGGUCAUUCAUAUUACUUUGAAGAACACCAAGUGUUUAAAGCAGGCGAAUAAGCCGGAAGGCAUUAGCAUGGGAUAAUGGAAGACGACUCGUCCUCACCUUCGUUGGUUCUUGAGGAUCGGGUAAUGAUUAAUAGGGACAGUCGGGGUCGCUGGUACUGAGUGGCUAGAGGUGAAAUUCUAUGACCCAUUCAAGACCAACAAGAGCGAAAGCAUUCGACAAGGAUGUUUUCAUUAAUCAAGAACGAAAGUUGAGGGAUCGAAGAUGAUCAGAUACCGUCGUAGUCUCAACUAUAAACGAUGUCGACCUGAGAUCAGAGGGCGUUACAUGGAUGACCCCUCUGGCAUCAUGUGAGAAAUCAUAAGUAACCAGACUCCGGGGGGAGUAUGGUCGCAAGGCUGAAACUUAAAGGAAUUGACGGAAGGGCACCACCAGGAGUGGAGUCUGCGGCUUAAUUUGACUCAACACGGGGAAACUUACCAAGUCCGAACACGACGAGGAUUGACAGAUUAAUAGCUCUUUCUUGAUUUUGUGAAGAGUGGUGCAUGGCCGUUUUUAGUUGGUGGAGUGAUCUGUCUGGUUAAUUCCGUUAACGAACGAGACCUUAUCCUGUUAAAUAGCGACACGAACGCGGGGGUCUGGGGUGGCCGGUGUCCGCAAGGGCAUUGGCCGUCUCAGGUCCUCACAAUUCUCAGUUUCGUGAUUGCUUCUUAGAGGAACCAUUCACCCACCAAGUGAACGGAAGUUUAAGGCAAAAACAGGUCUGUGAUGCCCUCAGAUGUUUUGGGCUGCACGCGCAUUACACUGUUGCGUGCAACGAGUCUUCAACGACCCGAACUUGAAAAGGUGGGGUAAGCUUUGAAUACGCAACGUGAUGGGGAUUGUGUUUUGCAAUUAUCACACAUGAACGAGGAAUUCCUAGUAAGCGUAAGUCAUCAACUUGCGCUGAUUACGUCCCUGCCCUUUGUACACACCGCCCGUCGCUCCUACC